rnacentral:rRNA from 1 species
CCUACGGGAGGCAGCAGUGGGGAAUAUUGCUCAAUGGGGGAAAGCCUGAAGCAGCAACGCCGCGUGAAGGAUGAAGGUUUUCGGGUUGUAAACUCCUUUUGUUAGAGAAGAUAAUGACGGUAUCUAACGAAUAAGCACUGGCUAACUCCGUGACAGCAGCCGCGGUAAUACGGAGGGUGCAAGCGUUACUCGGAAUCACUGGGCGUAAAGCGCGCGUAGGGGGGUUAGCAAGUCAGAUGUGAAAUCCUACGGCUUAACCAUAGAAUUGCAUUUGAAACUGUUAGUCUAGAGUAUGGUAGAGGUAGGUGGAAUUCUUGGUGUAGGGGUAAAAUCCGUAGAGAUCAAGAGGAAUACUCAUUGCGAAGGCGACCUGCUAGAACAUAACUGACGCUGAUGCGCGAAAGCGUGGGGAGCAAACAGGAUUAGAUACCCUUGUAGUC